UAGGGAAUCUUCGGCAAUGGGGGCAACCCUGACCGAGCAACGCCGCGUGAGUGAAGAAGGUUUUCGGAUCGUAAAGCUCUGUUGUAAGUCAAGAACGAGUGUGAGAGUGGAAAGUUCACACUGUGACGGUAGCUUACCAGAAAGGGACGGCUAACUACGUGCCAGCAGCCGCGGUAAUACGUAGGUCCCGAGCGUUGUCCGGAUUUAUUGGGCGUAAAGCGAGCGCAGGCGGUUUGAUAAGUCUGAAGUUAAAGGCUGUGGCUCAACCAUAGUUCGCUUUGGAAACUGUCAAACUUGAGUGCAGAAGGGGAGAGUGGAAUUCCAUGUGUAGCGGUGAAAUGCGUAGAUAUAUGGAGGAACACCGGUGGCGAAAGCGGCUCUCUGGUCUGUAACUGACGCUGAGGCUCGAAAGCGUGGGGAGCGAGCAGGAUUAGAUACCCUGGUAGUCCACGCCGUANNGAUGAGUGCUAGGUGUUGGAUCCUUUCCGGGAUUCAGUGCCGCAGCUAACGCANUAANCACUCCGCCUGGGGAGUACNACCGCAAGGNUG
rnacentral:rRNA from 1 species